AGAAUAAUUACAGAACUGAAGAAGAGAGAGCAAACACGGUAAAAACAUAGUACAAACAAGAUAAAACAUACUCAAAGCAGAACAGAUGGAGGCAAGAGUCGUCAAAACUACUAAGAACCCAGAGUGAAAACAGAGAGAAAUCAUGAAUGCAAAGCUCAGAAACGUGGAGCGAACAACCAGAAGGUCAACAUGUAACCAAUGGGAAGGAGAAGGAGAACAAACUCAUGAAGGAGAAUUGAAAAUUUUAAAAUUAAUACAUUUUAAAAAUAAAGUCUAUAAAUUUAAAAGGCAUUGAAGGCCAGACUUCAACAAAAAAGUAAAAUGGAUUUUAUCAUACUUGGAAAACCAACAAUUGCAGUCUGGAUUCAAGCAUCACUGUUUGAUGCACCCAACUUGAGUCAAAAAGAUGCUUCAAAUCCCACUAGGCUGGAGCCAUCUGAAGAUUUGCCUGAGACUGAAGGAUUCACUUCUACGAUGGCUCCUUCAGAUGGAGCCAGAUUGAGAAAAACCAACCAACCAACCAACCAACCAACCAACCAACCAACGAACAGCAUGAUGGCUGAACCAGACAAGAGAAGUCCUGAAGAAAAAUACUUAUCAAUUACCAGAAUCUGUGCCUGCCAUACAUCAAAGUCUCUGACUUCUUUAUUCCACAUGACUCUGCAAACCUAUGUCUGAACUUACAUUCUCCUGAAACCGGAACGGAUGAAACUCAUUAGGUAAUGCCAGCGCUCUUACUGAUCUUCACCUCAAACCUCAGGAAACAAAGCCAGGCAUGAUAUCCUCAGCUUUUAUGUUCUUCCUUUUUUUGCUUAGGCCUGAAAGUUGCAGAUAGGAUGCAUCUAAAAUUGGAGUUUAGGAGGCAUAGUUUUUCAAAGGGUUUUUACUGGGCAGGAAAUGCCAUAUCCUAAAGGGUAGCAGUGUGUUCCUAUAGCUGGUACAGACAUCUGAAGUAAUUUAAAACCAACAUGAAUGAUAACCACAUUUUUGGCUUAUAAAUUUAAAACCAAGAAGAAGGAGUGGGCAAUGAUCAGGAUUCCAUAUUCAUUGUAGGGGAGCAAUUAAAACAUAGAUAAUUCAGUAUCUUUUGGACUUUAUUGGCUAACCAACAGUAUAAUAAAUCACAAAAAUUAUUAUUUCAAUGACUUAAAUAGAUAACUGCAGCUACAACUUCUGAAAUGUUGAAUGGAUAAAUGAGGGCCUAUGCUUUGGUCAGUACAAUGUAAGGCUUUGCAGUUGGCACCCUAUGCCCAGCUUCUUUUCCUGGCACAGUGCUAAAAUGGCACAUACAACUUCCAUCAGCACCAGCGUGUUCGUCAUUUAGCAUUUAGGAACACAGUGAAUAGCAAUUAUCAGCCAAAUAGCUGGGAAGUGAAAAUGACCUAGUAAUCAGAGUAAAUAUACAUUAUGUUGUCAUAGUAUAAUGUGUAAAUAUUGGAGAGGAAUAGCAGAACAUGGACAUGCAGAAUCUUUCUUUUAAGGCCUUGUAUGAACACAAGUACUAUCUUGGCUCUGGCAUGUUUUCUGGAUGACAGCUACUAAACAUGUUGAUUUAGUAAGUAGUAGGUCAUCUUAAUCAUUUGCUCACUUACAGGUACCAUGACCAGAAAAGGCAUUGCCCUGAGUUUUUAUAAAUCCUAAAUUUGGCUCCCAAUGACCAGGAGACAUAUGGAGAGAUGAAGCAGCUUGGUGGGAGUUCAGACAUUAUAAACCUUGCACAGCCAGUUGCUUUAGCUGCUUAUUCCAAUCCAACUGUAUGUUAAUUUUACAGAAUCCUUCCUUUGUUAAGCUGGGAAAAUAUGAAAAGCCACCAAUGUCAUUUUGCUUAUAUUCAUCUUCUCAGCAAAUCAGGUGGGGAUAGUAUCAAUGUUGCAAAAUGUUGCUAAACUGAGUACCUGGACUACAUGCUGUGCUGCACAGAGACAGAGAAGAAUAGGCAGAAAUUUUAUUUUAGAAACUUUUAUGGGUGCAAUAUCCUGGGAAAAUUAGGCUAACUGAUGCGAUAAGUUUAUUAGCAAGAUUCUAAACAGCAGACACACAUAAUUUCCCCACUUUUAAAAUUAAGGCUUAACAGACUUGGAGAGAAUAAAUCAAUAAUGCCUCUAUAGUAGAAGGUAAAGGAGAGUGAUGGUGGUAGUAAAUAUUUAUUUUUUGUAGGCACUCAAUAUCCUUUUCCAAAUUUCUUGAAGCUUUUUGCUAUUUUGUGGGUAGGAGGGAGUGGAUCUUCUCCCUGCAUUGAGUACAGUCUUGGUUUUGGCAAAUUCAGGUACCUGUCUCAUCUCUUUGGAAGUAUGGGCUUCCCUGAGUUUCUUUCCGUCAGAUUAUCUUUCUUACUGCUCCAUGACAGGCAAGCAAUGAGCAUGUGCCCUAAACUUAGCUAAUCACUCUCCUAAAAAACAAACAAAACAAAAGGCAGAGUCCAAUCAUUCUAAAAGAGGAUGUCCAUGGAGAUACUGCUGAGACUUUGGAAGCUACCUGGUUUUUGAUGGUUUCUUCAGUCUUCUCUAUGAUCAUGUACAUUGUCCCGUAGCUUCCUAAUAAUAUGAUUCUUGCUCAAAUUAAGUAGGCUUGCUUCUGUUGCUAGCAACCAAAGAACCUUAAUUAAUACAGUUUUUAACUUCUACCUAAAAUGCUGCAAAUAACUACUUAUCACCAGAGCAGAGGGUCAGAGAAACCACCAUGUUUGGGGUAGAUCUUUGGUGGUAAGAAGGUCAAUUGGAAUAUAGAAUUAUAAUAUUCAGACUGUGUAAGUUAUAUGGGUAAUCUUAAGAUCUCAAAAUAGUUUCUGCCCAUGUUUCUAGGUCUUUCUCUACUUCAUCUUCUCACAGUUUGAUUAAUUAGGAUGGAGUUGAACCAUCUGUACUUUUUGGCCUAAACAAGGUCCAAUACAUAAGAUAAACUCACUAAUGGAAUCUUGAUUUAAUGUAUACCCAAAAUGUAAUGUAUAAUCAGGGAAGUUUGCAAAGAAAACUGCACCUACUGUGCCCAGGGAGAAUGGUUUUCCUUGUCAAUAUCCAAGCAGCAACCAGGGAGUUAGGCUGGUGCAAAAGUAAUUGUGUUUUUAAAUUUUUUUUGUCUUUCCAGAACUCUAAUAUCAAAAUAUUUCUUAAUUAGGUUUACAAAUUUUUUGUCUUAGCUGCUAUAGGGAAUCAAACAUAAGGUACUGUUUCUGCCUACAGAAGCACAUAACUUCUUUGAAGAGAUUGCCAGACUAACUAGAAAGUUCUAUGAGAAAGAAGAUGGGGGCUGGAUGUGGUGGCUCAUGCCUGUAAUCCAGCACUUUGGGAGGCCAAGGUGAGAGGGUCACUUGAGCCUAGGAGUUCGGUACCAGCCUGGGCAACAUAGCAAGACCCAUCUCUACAAAAAAUUUCCUGGUAUGGUGGAACAUGCUUGUGGAUAGCUCACAGUGCUAUCUCCCAGCUACCUGGGAGGCUGAGGUGGGGAGAUCACUUGAGCACAGGAAGUUGAGGCUGUAGUAAGCCAAGAUUGUGCCACUGCACCCUUGCCUCAGCAACAGAGCGAGACAUCCUCUUAAAAAAAAAAAAAAAGAAAAGAAGAUGGAUGAGAAGACUUUGUAGAGAAAAUAGAAUUGUUUUCUUUGAGAAUUACUCUUCACUUUCAGUAACCAGCUGAUUUCACAGCUCAGGGUAGACCUAGAUGGUGUCACUGCUUCUUAAGGCCAGUGGUCCAGCUGAUUUUAUCCAGGAUGGCCUCUGCCAAAGAGGACUUGGGCUGACUUUAGCCAUA
ensembl:lncRNA